CGAUUGGUCCGGCCUGGCCGGCUCCGGUUAGCGGAGGGCUCUGAUUGGGCGGGGCGGGGAUGAGGCCGACGGGGCGAGAGAGCCAGAAGGAAAGAGAGGAGGCCGGCCCGGGGACGGAUAGGAGGGUGGGCUCCCUAAGAGGUCAGCCAGGAGAGAAUGCAAAUUUUCUUUCCAAAAUGGAGAAACUGCAGAAAUAAUUUACCAAAAGGAGAAGGAAAAGUAAGAAAGGCAAGUAUUAAUCGUGUUUGACAAAUUUUAAAAAAAAAUCUUCAAAGCCUUAUACUAUGUACCUUUUAUCAAAGCUCGUGGUGGCCUCUAUUUCUGCUUUCUAUAAUAUUCCAUAAUCCCCAUGUUGCUUCACAUUCUGCAUAAGAUUGCUGGGCUUGCUGACUUUUGUAUCCAGGGAAACCUGUGCUUUGAGCAUAAUAAAACUGCAGUGUUCUCUCUGUGUUGUUGAUUUGAUGAUUGACAGCGUAAUUUUUAUGUUAUCAUUCUGGAUUACAUUCACAUAAAUUAGGGUCUUUUCCAUCUUUUGACCUUUCCCAAGAAUCUAAAAAGGGCUUUUGGGGAAAAAAAUCAUACACACACAUAUACUUUUUCAGUUCUGUUGUAAAUUAGGGUUUCAAUAGGUUUUCACAAGUGGCAAAUAGGUUAGUUUGAGCAAUUCCCAAAGAAGUUAUUCUUUUAUUACUUGAAGAGACCCUUUCUAUGUGAGGAUGAGCUGAGUCAGUCAAUAAAAAUUUAUUUAAUACUUUAUUUAACACAAAAGACAAAAGAUAGCCCUAGUUCUCAAGGCCCUCAUAAAAUAAUGGGGGAGACAAUAUGCAAACAGCUAUGUUCAAACAGCUAUGUACAAACAAGCUAUAUACAGGAUAAACAGAAAAUAAUUAACAGAAGCCACUAGAAUUAAGAGAGAUUAGGAAAGGCUUUCUGGAGAAAAUGAGAUUUUAGUUGAAGGAAGCCAAUAGACUAGGGUAAGGAAGAAGAGCAAUCCAGACAGUCUAAGACUUGUUACCUUGCCUUAUGACUAGAAUUGAGAUAAAAUGAUGCACAUUAAAAUGUUUUACUCACUAAUCAAGUUGGACACAUCAGAAUAUACCUUAAUCCCCAUUGUCACUUCCAAACUAUCUCUUAUCACUAUCACUCAGUAAAGUGCUCCUUUAAAUUCAUUCAAUCAAAAUUUAUUACCCAAUAAGGAUUCUAGAAGUUUCUAUUUACUAACCCUAAAAAUAUUUUCUUUCUGUAAGUGAAAUAUUGGCUUAUAGUCUCUCUACACCUCAAUUUUUGCUCUUGUACCAGGGGACUUCAACAUAUAUAUUGAGUUUACUAACUUCCCUGUCCACAGUCUUCUCAAAUUUCAUGACAUAUUCUGCAUUUCACCUCAAUUACAUACAAAGAUACCCUUAAUCUUUCCAUCACCUAUAAGAA
rnacentral:lncRNA from 1 species